ACCACCAUAUCACCCUGAACAUACCUGAUCUCACCUGAUUUUGGAAGCAAAGCAGAAUUGCACCUUGUUCGUAUUUUUGAAGGGAGACUGCGAAUAAGAGGGAUCCCAGGUU
rnacentral:rRNA from 1 species